UACGAAGGGUGCAAACGUUGCUCGGAAUUAUUGGGCGUAAAGCGCACGUAGGCGGCCUUGUAAGUCGGAUGUGAAAUCCCUCGGCUUAACCGAGGACGUGCAUCCGAAACUGUGAGGCUCGAGUAUGGAAGAGGGUCGCGGAAUUCCCGGUGUAGUGGUGAAAUGCGUAGAGAUCGGGAGGAACACCCGUGGCGAAGGCGGCCUGCUGGGCCGGUCCUGACGCUGAUGCGCGAAGGCGUGGGGAGCGAACGGG
rnacentral:rRNA from 1 species